GUCGGACGGGAUAGGAGAGCUUGCUUUUCUUGAGAGUGGCGCACGGGUGCGUAACACGUAUGUAACCUACCUUGAUCAGGGGGAUAGCCUCUCGAAAGAGAGAUUAAGACCGCAUAACAUAUUGAAGUGGCAUCGCUUUAAUAUCAAAUAUUUAUAGGAUCAAGAUGGGCAUGCGGAACAUUAGCUAGUUGGUAAGGUAACGGCUUACCAAGGCUACGAUGUUUAGGGGAUCUGAGAGGAUGACCCCCCACACUGGUACUGAGACACGGACCAGACUCCUACGG
rnacentral:rRNA from 1 species